rnacentral:rRNA from 1 species
UUGGAGGGCAUCUGGUGCCAGCAGCCGCGGUAAUUCCAGCUCCAAUAGCGUAUAUUAAAGUUGUUGUGGUUAAAAAGCUCGUAGUUGAACCUUGGGCCUGGCUGGCCGGUCCGCCUCACCGCGUGUACUGGUCCGGCCGGGCCUUUCCCUCUGUGGAACCCCAUGCCCUUCACUGGGCGUGGCGGGGAAACAGGACUUUUACUGUGAAAAAAUUAGAGUGCUCCAGGCAGGCCUAUGCUCGAAUACAUUAGCAUGGAAUAAUAGAAUAGGA